AGCAGAUUGCAUCAGCAGGAAGAGUCUCGAGGCUGUGUUUCCCCCAGACCGCCCCCAGAGGGUAGAGUCACUCCCAGCACCGCGAGUCAGACCCAGCGCCCUCCCCAGCCGCCCUCGUCCCUCGCUCCUGGGGGGUGCCAGUGUUGCAGACACGUUUCCACAUGUUACCCCGCGCUCGGUUAGUGCCUGUGAGUGUGCAUCCGCGUGUGGGGAUGCCAAGGAGAAGGACGAAAUGAAUAGAUCGUGAUUGUCACUCCCUCUAAACUGGCUGCGCGCCCGCCUCACUUCCCACCAUCCCCGAAGUAACGUUCCCGAAAGUCCUGUUCAGAAUUCUACGGUGGAUUCCCGUCAUCGAAAGCAGAAAAUUUUAAAUUUUCUUGCGUAUCUGGAAGAAUAAUCCUUAAUCCUGGGAGCAUAUAGAAUUCUUUCUGAUGUGAGCCUUGCCUGCUGGCCCAGUUCAUCCUCUGUGGGACCCUCUCCGCAGCACAAAAGAUACAGCACUGCUACUUUUCCAUGCCCAACGGCUCAGGGAGCUGCCAAUAGCCAUGCUGCAACCAUGAGUGACACGCCCAAGAUCAAAAACCAAUAUAUUGAAGAUGGCAAAACAGAGAGAGAGCCUGGGCUGUUGAGCCACCUUGCCAACCCUGGAAUUGCCCACCUUCAAAAUAUUUGUCUUAAGAGAUAAUUAAAUGUCUUUA